GAUGAACGCUAGCGGGAGGCUUAACACAUGCAAGUCGAGGGGCAGCACGUCCCGACGUAAGUCGGGAUGGUGGCGACCGGCGCACGGGUGAGUAACGCGUAUGCAACCUACCCUGUACAGGGGGAUAACCCGGAGAAAUUCGGACUAAUACCCCAUAAAGAUAUUUGGAGGCAUCUUUGAAUAUUUAAAGUUCCGACGGUACGGGAUGGGCAUGCGUGACAUUAGCUAGUUGGUAGGUAACGGCCUACCAAGGCUUCGAUGUCUAGGGGUCCUGAGAGGGUGAUCCCCCACACUGGUACUGAGACACGGACCAGACUCCUACGGGAGGCA
rnacentral:rRNA from 1 species